rnacentral:rRNA from 1 species
GACGAACGCUGGCGGCGUGCCUAAUACAUGCAAGUAGAACGCUGAGGACUGGUGCUUGCACCGGUCCAAGGAGUUGCGAACGGGUGAGUAACGCGUAGGUAACCUACCUCAUAGCGGGGGAUAACUAUUGGAAACGAUAGCUAAUACCGCAUAAAAGUGUUUAACCCAUGUUAAACAUUUAAAAGGUGCAACUGCAUCACUAUGAGAUGGACCUGCGUUGUAUUAGCUAGUUGGUGAGGUAACGGCUCACCAAGGCGACGAUACAUAGCCGACCCGAGAGGGUGAUCGGCCACACUGGGACUGAGACACGGCCCAGACUCCUACGGGAGGCAGCAGUAGGGAAUCUUCGGCAAUGGACGGAAGUCUGACCGAGCAACGCCGCGUGAGUGAAGAAGGUUUUCGGAUCGUAAAGCUCUGUUGUUAGAGAAGAAUGAUGGUGGGAGUGGAAAAUCCACCAUGUGACGGUAACUAACCAGAAAGGGACGGCUAACUACGUGCCAGCAGCCGCGGUAAUACGUAGGUCCCGAGCGUUGUCCGGAUUUAUUGGGCGUAAAGCGAGCGCAGGCGGUUCUUUAAGUCUGAAGUUAAAGGCAGUGGCUCAACCAUUGUACGCUUUGGAAACUGGAGAACUUGAGUGCAGAAGGGGAGAGUGGAAUUCCUGGUGUAGCGGUGAAAUGCGCAGAUAUCAGGAGGAACACCGAUGGCGAAGGCAGGUCUCUGGGCAGUAACUGACGCUGAGGAGCGAAAGCAUGGGUAGCGAACAGGAUUAGAUACCCUGGUAGUCCAUGCCGUAAACGGUGGGCGCUAGGUGUAGGGGGCUUCCACGUCUUCUGUGCCGUAGCUAACGCAUUAAGCGCCCCGCCUGGGGAGUACGGCCGCAGGGCUAAAACUCAAAGGAAUUGACGGGGGCCCGCACAAGCGGCGGAGCAUGUGGAUUAAUUCGAUGCAACGCGAAGAACCUUACCUGGGCUUGACAUAUACAAGACAGGCGUAGAGAUACGUCCUCCCUUGUGGUUUGUAUACAGGUGGUGCAUGGUUGUCGUCAGCUCGUGUCGUGAGAUGUUGGGUUAAGUCCCGCAACGAGCGCAACCCUUGUCUUAUGUUGCCAGCAUUUGGUUGGGGACUCAUGAGAGACUGCCGGGGUCAACUCGGAGGAAGGUGGGGAUGACGUCAAAUCAUCAUGCCCCUUAUGUCCAGGGCUUCACACAUGCUACAAUGGUCGGUACAACGCGCAGCGACACUGUGAGGUGGAGCGAAUCGCUGAAAGCCGGCCUUAGUUCGGAUUGGGGUCUGCAACUCGACCCCAUGAAGUCGGAGUCGCUAGUAAUCGCAGAUCAGCAACGCUGCGGUGAAUACGUUCCCGGGCCU